ACCAAAGGCGUCCUCUCGCAAACGUAUUUUACCUGUGAUUCAGCAUGUGGCCAACAGAAGAAGAAGAAGAGGAAACGUGUAUGGAUGGGCUACGGUGGUGUGUUUUCAGCUGGGGUCAGUGCCGGAGAGACUUUGGUAGGUGCAUCAUGCAAGGAAUAGAGUAGCAGAAGCCAUGUAGUCUAUAGUCUUGGUCCUGGCUGAAGACAACCCUAAAGGUUCACAGAAGAAAUUCAGUGAAAUUCAGCUGAGCAGGCGGAUGGUGAAAGCUUUGGUUGACAAUAACAAGAUCCUCGUAUCUCUUGGUGGAGGGGAAUGCGCCUUUGGCUGGAUCAAGCUGGUUCAGAAGAACUGACCUUAAAUCUGCACUGUGCAUGCAACAGUGUCGCCCCCUUACAAGGUACCCCAAAUCCAGAUUGACUGUCACCUCACAGCGGGGAGGUGUGGACAGGGAAGGCACCGCCGACACCUCCUGUCCUGCGAAAAUUCAGACAAACAUAAAACCGUUAAGCUGUGAUUUUCCAUUGGCAUUCAUCCUCACAGUGCGUACUGUACACAUUUUAUGGUGACAACAUAACCAGUGGCAGUGAGUGCCCUUU